rnacentral:rRNA from 1 species
AUUGAACGCUGGCGGCAGGCCUAACACAUGCAAGUCGCACGAGUGGCGGACGGGUGAGUCAUGUCUGGGAAACUGCUCGAUGGAGGGGGAUAACUACUGGAAACGGUAGCUAAUACCGCAUACCAUCGGAUGGUCCCAGAUGGGAUUAGCUAGUAGGUGGGGUAACGGCUCACCUAGGCGACGAUCCCUAGCUGGUCUGAGAGGGUGACCAGCCAGACUGGAACUGAGACACGGUCCAGACUCCUACGGGAGGCAGCAGUGGGGAAUAUUGCACAAUGGGCGCAAGCCGGAUGCAGCCAUGCCGCGUGUAUGAAGAAGGCCUUCGGGUUGUAAAGUACUUUCAGCGGGGAAGCGUUACCCGCAGAAGAAGCACCGGCUAACUCCGUGCCAGCAGCCGCGGUAAUUC